GCGGUGGGGUCGUUGUGGCCGGCGGCUAUGGGGCCGGCGCCCCCACCCCCCCCUCCCCGCAGCAGCAGAGGGGAGAGAUUUGGAACAACAAAAGCUGAAAACCUGCGGGUCAAAAUAAAGAACGCUCAAUAGGUGAAGCAAAGCUGCACACGAGCAAAGCAAAUAGGGAGGAGAAAAUGUUUCAAGUUUUAUGCAACCCUGCACGCAGCUGCUGUGAAUCGGGCCAGCUUUAGCUAAAGAACCCAACAGAUGGAAGAACGAUGUACUGACUCAGAAACUCACCAUACACAGUUACCGCUGUGGUUAUGCUGGACAAUUACCCGUGAGGUUUUCAGAGGGCCAGCCUGUGAGUCCCAGCCUCGGGAAGGCCUCGCACCGUUCCCUGUCACGCAGCUCACAGACUGCUCAGAGCUUUCUCGGCAGUGCCAGCUUAAGGUUCAAGAAGCACUUUGAACAGGACGACCCCUUUCCCCCCUGCAGUGGCUUAGGGAGCACUCUGGUGAAAAGCUGCGGCCUCACUUUUGACAUUUGCUGUGAAAUUUUCACAUCGCGCUUCGGCGGUACGUAUCGGGUAUGUUUUGUAAGGCCCCUUCCAGGAGGAUCCCCAGUUUGUCUCUCGUUCCUUAACUGCCGAAGGCAUGAGAACCGACCACGCAUUAGCAAUACAGCAUUAAGGUAUCCGCUGAAGCGUGGCAGCAGCUUCCCCACCCUUGCCAACCGGCCUUCCCUUCGACAUAAACGGGAACAAGCAGCACACCUCUCGCACGCUUCAGCUGAGCCCACGAGCGACACUGGUCAGAAGGGCCCGUCCCAUCCCGCACCCUCCCUUUACCUGUGGAAGAGGAAGACGCGCAGGUGUCCUGCCUGCGAACAAACACGACCAGGGCCGCGGCGCACACCGGAGGCUUCCUGGGGCGCAAGCCGCCGGCAAGGCAGAGCUCAGGGGCGGCUCCUCAUGGAAGAUGUACAGCUACAGCCCCAGCAGACUUCUGCAGUGCCGCUCGGGCCCCUCACGGAAGGUCUCGUUGUCAAAGUCGGGACUAGCAGGGCACCGCAGCCAGAUGCCAGGCAAAGGCAACCGCUCCAGCUGAGAGGAGACCACAGACCACCAGAGCUGGGAGGAGCGCACACCACCAUAGCCAGGGGUCUGGACAGAAAGAGACCGCCUCUUGCGGCUGCGCGCCACGCUGAGGGCGGGGAGCCUUUCCCUUUCUCGAGGUCAUCUCCCCGUCUCGAGGCUUCUCUCCAAAGCUCGUUUCGAGCGUCCGAGGCGUGCCAGGGUUCUCUAGAAAAAGAGUUCAGCACCGUUUCUGCUCAGUGCAGCUAAAAUGAAAAAACAGGACCAAACUGGAGUUCCAGGGAGCUUUUAUUGUGUUUAAUCAACAAAAUCAGGAUAUUACCAUUCUUUUUUUUUUUUUUUGCACUCAUAACUCAUGAAGCUCUUCACAAGUCAGUGCUGCAACGCACAUACAGCCAGAAGAAAUACA